rnacentral:misc_RNA from 1 species
AAUAUGAAUAAAAAACUCCCCUAACUUAAAUGAACACCUAACCAUACCAAAUUAAUACAAUAAUCAUGCUUUAUAAACGCACAUUUUACAUUCUACUACACGUUAAUCAUGCUUUAUAAACGCACGUUUUACAUUAUACUAUUGUGCAAAAACUUGCGAUUGCCCAUUGAAUGGAAAAUUAUAAGCGAAAUCGAAUACCCACAUGGAA